GCAGCCGCCGCGGGAAUACGUAGGUGGCAAGCGUUGUCCGGAAUUAUUGGGCGUAAAGCGCGCGCAGGCGGAUAGGUCAGUCUGUCUUAAAAGUUCGGGGCUUAACCCCGUGAUAGGAUGGAAACUGCCAAUCUAGAGUAUCGGAGAGAAAAGUGGAAUUCCUAGUGUAGCGGUGAAAUGCGUAGAUAUUAGGAAGAACACCAGUGGCGAAGGCGACUUUCUGGACGAAAACUGACGCUGAGGCGCGAAAGCCAGGGGAGCGAACGGGAUUAGAUACCCCUGUAGUCCCUGUCUCUUAUACA
rnacentral:rRNA from 1 species